rnacentral:tmRNA from 1 species
GGGGCUGACAGGUUUCGACGUCAGUGACGAGGGGCGGGCAUGCGACCCGAGUUGCUCAGACUCGUAAAACGGGGCACGAACAAGAAUUGCCGAUGAGCAGUUCGCUCUCGCCGCCUGAUCUGAUCAGGUGAGCGAAGAGUCAUCGUGAGCAGAAAUGUCGCACGGGGCCGGUCACCCGCAGCCCGGCAACAGAAGCGGGAGAUGACGGUGGGAAAGACCACUGACGGCCGGAAAGACGGCUGACCCUCGGCAAAGACCGGGCGUCGAUCACCUCGCCGUGAGGUGGGGUGGUCAACCGACCCGCCGGUGAGGCAGCGUCAGCCUCGAAGACGGGAAUGGUCGUAGCAGGUUCGUCCACCGGCUGAUGGACGGGGGUUCGAUUCCCCCCAGCUCCACCG